rnacentral:tRNA from 1 species
GCCGCCGUAGCUCAGCCGGCAGAGCGGCGGACUUGUAAUCCGCGGGUCGGGGGUUCGAAUCCCCCCGGCGGCU